UACGUAGGGGGCAAACGUUGUUCGGAUUUAUUGGGCGUAAAGAGCUCGUAGGCGGCUCGGUAAGUCGGAUGUGAAAUCUCCAGGCUCAACCUGGAGACGCCAUCUGAUACUGCCGUGGCUUGAGUCCGGUAGAGGAGCAGGGAAUUCCUGGUGUAGCGGUGAAAUGCGCAGAUAUCAGGAGGAACACCCGGGGCGAAGGCGGCCCUCUGGCUCGACCCUGACGCUGAGGCGCGAAAGCGUGGGGAGCGAACGGG
rnacentral:rRNA from 1 species